rnacentral:rRNA from 1 species
AAUCAACGCUGGCGGCGUGCCUCAGACAUGCAAGUCGAACGAUUAAAGCUCUCUUCGGAGAGUGCAUAAAGUGGCGCACGGGUGAGUAACACGUAAGUAAUCUACCUUCGAGUGGGAAGUAACGUCCGGAACGGACGCUAAUACCGCAUAACGCAGCGGCAUCGCAAGAUGACAGUUGUUAAAGAUUUAUCGCUUGAAGAGGAGCUUGCGGCAGAUUAGCUUGUUGGUUAAGGUAACGGCUUACCAAGGCUACGAUCUGCAUCCGGUCUAAGAGGACGGUCGGACACACUGACACUG